rnacentral:rRNA from 1 species
GACGAACGCUGGCGGCGUGCUUAACACAUGCAAGUCGAACGGUGAACUCCGCUUGCGGGGGGAUCAGUGGCGAACGGGUGAGUAACACGUGGGCAACCUGCCCUCAGCUCUGGGAUAACUCCAAGAAAUUGGGGCUAAUACCGGAUAUGACCGCUGACCGCAUGGUCUGGUGGUGGAAAGAUUUAUCGGCUGGGGAUGGGCCCGCGGCCUAUCAGCUUGUUGGUGGGAUAGUGGCCUACCAAGGCGACGACGGGUAGCCGGCCUGAGAGGGUGACCGGCCACACUGGGACUGAGACACGGCCCAGACUCCUACGGGAGGCAGCAGUGGGGAAUAUUGCGCAAUGGGCGAAAGCCUGACGCAGCGACGCCGCGUGGGGGAUGACGGCCUUCGGGUUGUAAACCUCUUUCAGCAGGGACGAAGCGAAAGUGACGGUACCUGCAGAAGAAGCACCGGCCAACUACGUG